rnacentral:rRNA from 1 species
CACGUAGGCACCAAGCGUUGUCCGGAUUUAUUGGGCGUAAAGAGCUCGUAGGCGGUUCAGUAAGUCGGGUGUGAAAACUCUGGGCUCAACCCAGAGACGCCACCCGAUACUGCUGUGACUUGAGUACGGUAGGGGAGUGGGGAAUUCCUGGUGUAGCGGUGAAAUGCGCAGAUAUCAGGAGGAACACCAGUGGCGAAGGCGAGUCCCUGGACAACUCCUGACACUGAGGCACGAAAGCUAGGGGAGCAAACAGG